CUUGAUCCAUUGGCUAGGAAUUAACAAGGCUUUAGUUGCACAUUUGAUCCAAGGGCUAGGAAUGGCAAAGACCUUUGUAUAGUAAGGAGGUUUAGGCACUUAAAGGACUUAGAAAAAUCAGAUUUUCACUCCUCUUUUCCUCUUCAAAACCGUGAACCAUUCCCCUUCAUACUAUUCAUCCCAAAAUUCUCAUUUCUUGACCAAAUCAUCUCAUCCAAAGCUAGUUGAAUCCUUGGAACUUGCAAGAGUAACAUCACUAAGGAAACGAGUAACGGUGUUUAAUUGCGCGUUCGAUUGUGUGAUUGGAAACUUUUGCCGAGACGAUGGAGCGCCAUCUGAGACCGUAGGCCGUGUGGACGGCGAGGACUUC